rnacentral:tRNA from 1 species
UGUCUCAGUGGUAAAGAAUCUGCCUGCAAUGCAGGAGACCUGGGUUCGAUCCCUG